UGCCAGCAGCCGCGGUAAUACGGAGGGUGCAAGCGUUACUCGGAAUCACUGGGCGUAACGCGCAUGUAGGCGGUCUUGUAAGUUGGGUGUGAACGCCUAUGGCUCAACCAUAGAACUGCACCCAAAACUACUAGACUAGAGUCUGGGAGAGGAAAAUGGAAUUAGUUGUGUAGGGGUAAAAUCCGUAGAGAUAACUAGGAAUACCAAAAGCGAAGGCAAUUUUCUGGAACAGUACUGACGCUCAGAUGCGAAAGCGUGGGUAGCAAACAGGAUUAGAUACCCUGGUAGUCCACGCCCUAAACGAUGAAUGUUAGUCGUCGGGAGGCUCGUCCUUUCGGUGAUGCAGUUAACACAUUAAACAUUCCGCCUGGGGAGUACGGUCGCAAGAUUAAAACUCAAAUGAAUUGGCGG
rnacentral:rRNA from 1 species